rnacentral:lncRNA from 1 species
UUUAGGAUACUGCUUGCUAUGGUUGCGGAUUUUCUAACUUGCUUUCUCUGUUUUUUUUAGAACAUUUUUGUGGGUAUGAGAAAUUGAUGAAUAUUGUUAUUCAUGUUCUCAAAGAAAAAAUAUGCUGAUUGGAUCACCUCUUCUUUCCUUCCUUCCUUCCAAUUGCACCAACUUCCCUGAUGGGCAUGGCUCCCUUCACUGUCGGGUUGGAUUCUCAUUACUGUCUUUUGGAGAUGCCUGGGAUGCACUGCAUUGUACAGACAACUGCCUUCAUCUUUGGAAUGAGUUUUAAGUUGUCUUGUAAUAGCUCUUUUGGCUUCACUGAUAGAAGGACCCAGAUAAGAAUACAGUUUUUUCGCAUUGUAUUUAUUAGUGUUCUAAAAUAUCUUUUUCUUGAAGAGUCUUAUGAUCAAGCACCCUGUAUUUUAGGAAAUUCAGCUG